GGGCAGGUACCAGAGUGGUCAAAUGGGGCAGACUGUAAAUCUGCUGGUUUACGCCUUCGGGGGUUCGAAUCCCUCCCUGCCCACCA
rnacentral:tRNA from 1 species